CUGUAAGCUAAUAACUAAAAUAUGCAACAGCAGGCAUCUCUUUUAGUUGGCAUCCAAAGUUUAUCAUCCACUAAUUACAUUCAUCCAUGUAAUUACAUUUAACCAAAAGCUUACACCAAAACAUCCAAAAACCAUCAUCUACUAAUCACAUUCAUACAUGUAAUUAAACUUAGCCAAAAGCAUACACCAGAACAUCCAAAAAAAUGAUCUACUAAUUACAUUCAGCCAAAAAAGUACACGUAAAACCAUCUGCCAACCAUCCAAAAAACACCAGAAUGUUGAAACCAGUCCAAUUGGGUGGGCUGUCCAACACUUCCUCUGUCUGGAGUUAGUUUUCUUCCAGCCACCCAGGUCGCUCUCUUUCAGAACUAACUGGCUCUAGGGUUGUGUUGAACCACUCCUAAAUGGACAAAAGUACUGAUAAGAAGGGAUGAAGAAAUGGAGAAAAAAAUGUAUAUUUAUAUUAAAUAGGCAGGAAGAAAUGGUUGACAAAACUUACGGAAUCUGGAGCAUCGGCCCUUGUGUGAUAUUUUUUAUUAUGCCCUUGCAACACGUCAUUAUGCAAUUUUCCUUUUUUAAUAUUUUAGACCUCCCUCGUGAAUGUUCAAUAUAAUCUUCUUCAGCUCCCUUUCUUCUCUUUUUUUUUUUUUUUGUCUCUUUCCCUUCUGUGUUUCUACCCAAUUAGGAGCUUCGAUUGGAAGAGCUUCCACAGUUAGUCACAAAAAAGAUCCGUUCAUAGGACUGAGUAUGUUUUCGUAGCAAGCAAGGUAUUUUUCCACUGAGUAGCACCUAUCUACAUAAUCCUCUGGUUGAUUUCGUGAGUCCAGAAUAAUUGCAACUGCAUGACAUCAUGGGAUACCUGUUAGUUCCCACCAUCGACAGGCACAUGUACGUUGUUCCAAGUCAACCACGUAUUGUCCACUUGCACUCUUCACCUGAUACUUUGGUCCUCCGGACCAAUUGAUGUCGCAUCCAUCCGCCAACUCAAUAUUCCUCACCAAUUUAUUUAUUUAUUAUUAUUAUUAUUAUUAUUUUUUUUUAUCUUAGGACAUAUGGCCCCUUCGUAGGCCCUCAUCUUAUCCCUUCUUCCUUGUAGUCUCUUCAGAAGGUAAGUUGAAUGGAAGUUAGCAUUGUAAGUAUUGAUUUCUCUGUGUCAUCUAUCAAUGUCUUAUUGAAAAUCUCACAAUCAUUAUUCAAAACAAUGUCGCUCUUCACUAUAACCUGAAAGUGAGACUUGCUCCACUCCGGUGGAUCCCUUUUGAUCAAACAAUCUGAUGUAGGGAGAUUAAUAAAUCAGUAAUUAACAAGAAGGGAUGGGGGAGGGGAAGAGGAGAAGAAGGACAGAGGCGGGGAAGAGGAGAGAAAACGGCCACAAGCCAACUUUAUAAUUCUUAAUCAAUUCAUCAACUAAAAAUUACAAACCAAGAUAGGUUUAAAUAAUAAAAACCUAGAAAUAUAGGGCCAAGCCCAUUAUUUAAGUCCUAAUUAAAAUACGUAAACUUAAAUAAAAGUCCAACUGAAACAAUAAUAAAAGUCCAAUUAAAAUACUGAAACAAUAAUAAAAGUCCAACUAUAAGGAUGUCCUCAUCAACUCUCCCGGGGUGGGAGAAAACUCGACCCUGUCGAGUGGAUAUAUCACCGUAAACUCUCGUCAAUCUCCCAACCAUAAGCUGAGUGGUUGGGCAAAUUUCUUCCGGCGUCUGUAGAAAUGCGUCAGCGGCGGUCUGAACCUGGUGUUCUCAUCAACUCCCCUCGGGUGGACGGGAGGCGAUCUGGGCCAAGGAAGAUCCUGCUGACUCCGAUAAAGCUCUAGCAAAUCUGGAUCCAAAUGCUGUAGUGUCUCCCUGGAGAUCCAUGCACAAUCAGAAUCUGGUCGACCAACCCAACGAACAAGGAAGCGCUGAACCUCUCCAUCAUUAGUGCACACAGUUUCUUCAUCUAAAAUAGCAUCAAUUUUAUCUGUGUGUGCUGUGAGAGGUGGUAGUGGGUUAGAGGGGGCCAAAGAAUUAGGAUCAAGGUCCACAAAAGGAGGUAACAGGGGAUCAUCUGAGGGAAUGAAAUGACCUUUAUAAGCUACAAGGUCUUCAACAUUGAAAGUAUGGUGGUAACCAAUGUGGGAUGGAAUGUUAACAAUAUAUGCAUUUGGACCAACUUGCUUUAAAAUUUUAAAAGGACCAGCACUACGAGCUUGCAAUUUGGAGGCGGGUCCAUGUAGACGCCGCUCUGGCCUAAUGCGAACCAUAACGUAAUCCCCAACAUUAAACUCAAUAUGUCAUUUAUGUAAAUCAGCUUGUAGUUUAUAAUUUGCAUUACUAGCUUCAAGUUGUUUAUUGAUCUCAAUGUGCAAAUCACGAAGGUGUUGUGCAAAUGCGUCGGCUGAUACUGACACUCUAGCCUGUAGGGACAUAGGGAUGAGAUCUAAUGAUUUCCUAGGCUUGUAUCCGUGAACGGCUUCAAAUGGACUCAUACCUAAUGAACGAUUUACGGAGCUAUUAUACGCGAUUUGAGCGACAGGAAGGAUUAAAUCCCAAUUUCGAAGGUUCUCCCGGACCAGACAACGUAAUAAGUUACCAAGACUCCGAUUAACAACUUCGGUCUGACCGCCAGUUUGAGGGUGGUAGGUUGUGGAAAAUUUUAAUUUGGUGCCCAUCUUAUGCCACAAAGUCCUCCAAAAAUGGCCAGUGAAGCGAACGUCCCUAUCGGACACGAUGGUCUUGGGAAGUCCAUAUAGUUUGACAAUCUCAUUAAAGAAUAACAUGGCAACCUUGGAUGCAUCCGAUGUUUUGCUACAGGGGAUAAAGUGAGCCAUUUUCGAAAAACGAUCGACAACCACGAAAAUAGAAUCAUGCUUCUUUGGGGUGCGUGGCAGUCCUAGCACAAAAUCCAUACUAACGUCUUGCCAAGGACAAUUGGGGACGGGGAGAGAAGUGUAUAGGCCUGUGUUCUGCUUCUUCUGUUUGGCCAAUUGACAAGUGUUACAUGUACUAACAAUUUUAGCCACAUCUCUCUUUAAACUAGGCCAAUAGAAUUGGCGUUCAACCUCCUCAAUGGUCUUAUCACGCUCAAAGUGACCGGCUAACCCUCCCGCGUGUACUUCCCACACUAUAAAAUCUCGCACUGAAAUUCGAGGGAUGCACAAUUUAUUGGCUCGAAAGAGAUAACCCUUCUCAAGUCGAAAGCCAUCCAUGCUGUUUGAUUGUCCUCAUGCCUCGUAAUCCUCCUUAAACCUUUCAAAACCAAUGACUUUGACACUCAUGAUCGACAAAAAGGAGACACGACGACUUAAUGCGUCAGCUGCUUGGUUCUCCACGCCCUUCUUGUGUUUUAAAACAAAUGAAUAGGCCUGCAAAUAUUCAACCCAACGUCCAUGCCUAGAACUUAAUCUCUUCUGAGAGUUGAGGUAACGGAGGGCUUCGUGGUCCGAAUAAAGGACAAAUUCCUGAGGCAACAAGUAGUGGCGCCAAUAGCGCAAAGCCUGGACCACCGCAUACAGUUCCUUAUCAUACGUUGAAUAUCGUCGUUUG
rnacentral:lncRNA from 1 species